rnacentral:rRNA from 1 species
AUACGGAGGACGCGAGCGUUAUCCGGAUUCAUUGGGUUUAAAGGGUGCGCAGGCGGCCGUGCAAGUCAGCGGUGAAAGCCCGGGGCUCAACCCCGGAAGUGCCGUUGAUACUGCAUGGCUGGAAUGCGGUCGAGGCGGGCGGAACGUGGCGGGUAGCGGGGAAAUGCGUAGAUAUGCCACAGAAAGCCGAUAGCGGAGGCAGCUCGCCAGGCCUGCAUUGACGCUCGGGCACGAAAGCGUGGGGAUCGAACAGGAUUAGAUACCCUGGUAGUCCACGCCGUAAACGAUGGGCGCUCGUCGUCGGCGGCAGACAGUCGGCGGCCAAGCGAAAGCGAUAAGCGCCCCACCUGGGGGGUACGGUCGCAAGGCUGAAACUCAAAUGAAUUGACGGGG